UUAAAUAAAAAUCGGCGUUGCUGCUGCCUUUCGUGGUGACGCGUCGGAUUGAGUCGUCUUAUCUUCGGAUAAGUGACUUAAAAUUUUAUAUGAUUUUCGAACGUAUUUAAAUUGCUUACGUACGUUUGAGAUAUCGAAUAUAUUUUAUUAGGUUCGGUCAUCCUCAUGAUUCGCGCCUAUAAUUUUUUCAUU
rnacentral:misc_RNA from 1 species